AUUGAACGCUGGCGGCAGGCUUAACACAUGCAAGUCGAGCGGGGAGUGUUGCUUCGGUAAUACUCUUAGCGGCGGACGGGUGAGUAAUGCUUAGGAAUCUGCCUAUUAGUGGGGGACAACAUCUCGAAAGGGAUGCUAAUACCGCAUACGUCAUACGGGAGAAAGCAGGGGACCACUUGUGACCUUGCGCUAAUAGAUGAGCCAAAGUCGGAUUAGCUAGUUGGUGGGGUAAAGGCCUACCAAGGCGACGAUCUGUAGCGGGUCUGAGAGGAUGAUCCGCCACACUGGGACUGAGACACGGCCCAGACUCCUACGGGAGGCAGCAGUGGGGAAUAUUGGACAAUGGGGGGAACCCUGAUCCAGCCAUGCCGCGUGUGUGAAGAAGGCCUUAUGGUUGUAAAGCACUUUAAGCGAGGAGGAGGCUAUCUUAGUUAAUACCUAGGAAUAGUGGACGUUACUCGCAGAAUAAGCACCGGCUAACUCUGUGCCAGCCGCCGCCGUAACAC
rnacentral:rRNA from 1 species